rnacentral:lncRNA from 1 species
AAACACAUAAAUAGGGAUCGACCCAUGAUAGGCUUAUGCCCUAGGAUACCACCCGAUAAGAGAGAACUUUCAUCAGUUAGUUCAAUUAAUCUUUGAGAUUGUUAUUUCGGUCGCCACUGCAUUUUUGAUACUUUGAAACAAUGAUACAUCAAUAAGAGACAUAUAAAUAGACCAUCAAUGCAAUAACAAUGAAGUAAGAACUCAUUGGCACAUCAAAGAAGUGUUUUGGAGUCAUCAAUGCCAUAACAAUGAAGUAGGAACUUAUUGGUAUAUCAAUGAAAUGUUUUGGAGUCAUU